rnacentral:sRNA from 1 species
GCUGGGCAUGGUGGUGCACACCUGUAAUCCCAGCAGUUUAGGAGGCUAAGGCAGGAGGAUCAUAAGUUUGAGGCCAGCUUCAGCAAUUUGUCAAGCCCUAAGCAACUUAGUGAGACCCUGUCUCAA